AGAGUUUGAUCCUGGCUCAGAUUGAACGCUGGCGGCAUGCCUUACACAUGCAAGUCGAACGGCAGCACGGAGCUUGCUCUGGUGGCGAGUGGCGAACGGGUGAGUAAUAUAUCGGAACGUACCCUAGAGUGGGGGAUAACGUAGCAAAAGUUACGCUAAUACCGCAUACGAUCUACGGAUGAAAGUGGGGGAUCGCAAGACCUCAUGCUCAUGGAGCGGCCGAUAUCUGAUUAGCUAGUUGGUAGGGUAAAAGCCUACCAAGGCAUCGAUCAGUAGCUGGUCUGAGAGGACGACCAGCCACACUGGAACUGAGACACGGUCCAGACUCCUACGGGAGGCAGCAGUGGGGAAUUUUGGACAAUGGGCGAAAGCCUGAUCCAGCAAUGCCGCGUGAGUGAAGAAGGCCUUCGGGUUGUAAAGCUCUUUUGUCAGGGAAGAAACGGUUGUCUCUAAUACAGAUGGCUAAUGACGGUACCUGAAGAAUAAGCACCGGCUAACUACGUGCCAGCAGCCGCGGUAAUACGUAGGGUGCAAGCGUUAAUCGGAAUUACUGGGCGUAAAGCGUGCGCAGGCGGUUAUGUAAGACAGAUGUGAAAUGCCCGGGCUUAACCUGGGAACUGCAUUUUGUGACUGCAUGGCUAGAGUUUGGCAGAGGGGGGUAGAAUUCCACGUGUAGCAGUGAAAUGCGUAGAUAUGUGGAGGAACACCGAUGGCGAAGGCAGCCCCCUGGGUCAAGACUGACGCUCAUGCACGAAAGCGUGGGGAGCAAACAGGAUUAGAUACCCUGGUAGUCCACGCCCUAAACGAUGUCUACUAGUUGUCGGGUCUUAAUUGACUUGGUAACGCAGCUAACGCGUGAAGUAGACCGCCUGGGGAGUACGGUCGCAAGAUUAAAACUCAAAGGAAUUGACGGGGACCCGCACAAGCGGUGGAUGAUGUGGAUUAAUUCGAUGCAACGCGAAAAACCUUACCUACCCUUGACAUGGCUGGAAUCCCUGAGAGAUUGGGGAGUGCUCGAAAGAGAACCAGUACACAGGUGCUGCAUGGCUGUCGUCAGCUCGUG
rnacentral:rRNA from 1 species